rnacentral:lncRNA from 1 species
GAGGUGUUUUAUGAAAUUCUCUGCAGCGGUGCUGCCGGAUUUUGCCUGUAUUUUUCGACCAAUUGGCCGGUCUUUUUACUUUGAUUUGGCCAUGAGUGUGUUUAGAAUUGAAUUCUAAGAAAAAGAGAAAAUUUUAACCUUUUUUGGCAGUUGGAAAGGGCUCCGGUGUGGCGGCGGGUGGCUGCGGUCUCUUUCCCAGCGGCCGGGUCUUCUUCUCCGACGAGGGAGUUUUGCGGCUAGGGUUAGGGUUUGGUGUGGAUAGAAAUUAUUUAUAUCCGUUUGCUUUUGAUCUGGGUUGUCCAUCACGUUUGAUCUGGACCGUCCGAUCGUGAUUAAAUAGGGAGUGAAUCUGAACCGUUCAUCGCGAUU